rnacentral:rRNA from 1 species
GACGAACCGUGCGACCGUUAUUCGGAAUCACUGGGCUUAAAGCGCGUGUAGGCGGGCCGGCACGUCGGCCGCUGAAAUCCCCCGGCUCAACCGGGGAAGCGGCGCCGAUACGACCGGCCUGGAGGGACGUAGGGGGGGCCGGAACUUCCGGUGGAGCGGUGAAAUGCGUUGAGAUCGGAAGGAACGCCCGUGGCGAAAGCGGGCCCCUGGACGUCUACUGACGCUGAGACGCGAAAGCCAGGGGAGCGAACGGG